rnacentral:rRNA from 1 species
GAUCCUGGCUCAGGAUGAACGCUGGCGGCGUGCUUAACACAUGCAAGUCGAACGAAGCACCUUGAUUUGAUUCUUCGGAUGAAGAUCUUGGUGACUGAGUGGCGGACGGGUGAGUAACGCGUGGGUAACCUGCCUCAUACAGGGGGAUAACAGUUAGAAAUGACUGCUAAUACCGCAUAAGACCACAGCACCGCAUGGUGCAGGGGUAAAAACUCCGGUGGUAUAAGAUGGACCCGCGU